rnacentral:rRNA from 1 species
AGUGAACGCUGGCGGUAGGCCUAACACAUGCAAGUCGAACGGCAGCACAGUAAGAGCUUGCUCUUACGGGUGGCGAGUGGCGGACGGGUGAGGAAUACAUCGGAAUCUACUUUUUCGUGGGGGAUAACGUAGGGAAACUUACGCUACUACCGCAUACGACCUACGGGUGAAAGCAGGGGAUCUUCGGACCUUGCGCGAUUGAAUGAGCCGAUGUCGGAUUAGCUAGUUGGCGGGGUAAAGGCCCACCAAGGCGACGAUCCGUAGCUGGUCUGAGAGGAUGAUCAGCCACACUGGAACUGAGACACGGUCCAGACUCCUACGGGAGGCAGCAGUGGGGAAUAUUGGACAAUGGGCGCAAGCCUGAUCCAGCCAUACCGCGUGGGUGAAGAAGGCCUUCGGGUUGUAAAGCCCUUUUGUUGGGAAAGGAAAGCAGCAGGUUAAUACCCCGCUGUUCUGACGGUACCCAAAGAAUAAGCACCGGCUAACUUCGUG